rnacentral:rRNA from 1 species
AUUGAACGCUGGCGGCAGGCCUAACACAUGCAAGUCGAACGAGUGGCGGACGGGUGAGUAAUGUCUGGGAACCUGCCUGAUGUAGGGGGAUAACUACUGGAAACGGUAGCUAAUACCGCAUACCAUCGGAUGUGCACAGAUGGGAUUAGCUAGUAGGUGGGGUAACGGCUCACCUAGGCGACGAUCCCUCGCUGGUCUGAGAGGAUGACAAGGCACACUGGAACGGAGACACGGUCCAGACUACUACGGUAGGCGGCAGAGGGGAAUAUAGCAUAAUGGGCGCAAGCCUGAUGCGACCAUGCCGAGUGGAUGAAGAAGGCCUGCGGGUUGUAAAGUACUUUCAGCGGGGAGGAGUUACCCGCAGAAGAAGCACCGGCUAACUCCGUGCCAGCAGCCGCGGUAAUUC